CUUUAAAUUUGGCACAGUCAAGUUGCUGCAGCCCUAAAGUAGCCAUUUUGCAAUGCUCUCCUGCUUGUUGCAUCUGUUUCUUCUCUGUCUGCUUACCAUCUUUUCUCACGUUUGUGGCCUGGAAUCCUCAUUCCCAGAGAUUCAGGAUCCAAUGCUGCACCCAUUGGAAUCAAUUAACUCUUCCUUUUUUCUGGGUUGGGGAGUGCCCAAUGAGAAAACCAUCAUGGUGUGAUGCCAGUUUGGCUCAUUCAGCAACCUAAACCUGCCUCAUCGAAUCCCCAUGGCAGCUCUACACAUACCAACUACAGCUCUAUUGUGACUGUUUGCGGGACUGACUUCUUCUGGACUGGUUGAACAAAUGCACAGCUGAAAUGUGUGCCGUCUCGUGGCUUGUGUUCUCCACACAUCUGACUAUAUAUUUCUGCUGAAAAGGGCCUCAUGAAAUUAGAGUUACCAGAUGAGUAUCAAAAUAUAUUCUGCAUAAUAUAUUGUUGGGGCAGCAAGGGGAGGGAAUUUUCAUUCCUAGUUUUAGGAAGAAAAUAUUAUUAAUGUUCCAUGUAAGCUCAGAUGCCUUGAUUGUGAAAACUUGGUCCAUAUUAAAUAUUUUUUCUUAAACAUAUACAAAUUUAAGCCAAGGUUAAUAUAUCUAUGUUCAACAGUUGAAUUGAGAAACAUUGGUUAAAAUCUAAAAAAAUUCUUACUACUGUUUGUUGUACUAUAAGGACAUUUUGAUCAUAUAAAACACCCUCCCGGAAAAAUGGAAAUGGAACCAAGUCCCGUCGGCCUCUAAGAUGAAGAUGUUAGCUAAAAUGUAGAGACGUCUCCUAAAAGAAGACCUUAAUGCUCUCUCUCUAAGGCCCUAUGCCUGCAAACACUCAUUGACUUUGACUUCAAUGGGACUACUUACAUGAGUAAAGUUAAGUGUAUGCAUAAGUGUUUGCAGGAUUGGAGACUAAAGCUGUGUCCUGGAGCCAAGCAUUCUCUGUGUUUAAGGAAUUGAUGAUGAUACUUCAAGAGAAUCAAGAGCUCAGGGUAUAGGAUCCUUGUAAAAAAGCAACCAUAAGCUUGGAGCUGACUGUUAGAACCACAUGCAUUGAAGGACAAAAUGUUGCCAUAUAGUUGAGUUAUUUAUUUUAUUUUCUGGGUUACAUGAGUGCAACCCCCAUUGAAAUUGAACACGCGUAAUGAAGAAAGGAAAUUGGUAAAGUAUUUAGGAACCUAGGGUUUGCUAUACCAAAUCAAACCAAUACUAAUUAAAGCCCUGAACCUGCAGUUAGCUCUUCAGGGACAGACUCUUGCAGUCUACGGAACUUGGCACAGUUCAGGAUUUGAGUCUGUAUAUGGUAGCUGGUUCUGACAGAGAUCUAGUGGUAUGCCUGAUAUUCCAGGGAAGGUAACAACCUCCCAGUAAUAUGCUGGGACUCCCAAAUUGUGCAAUGUUAUAUAUGGGGUAGGAAAAUUCAUAUUUGAACCCUGUAGUGGUAGUUUGCAGUGGAAUCGAGAGACUUUCCCUUCCUGCUUUUGGUUUUAUAUGCUGCUUUAUGCCUGUUUUAACCAAAAAAACCCAAAAAUCUUCUGUAGCCAGAGCACGACUAUAAAUCUGUUAUGUCUUUGAAUUCACCUGCUUUGAUUGCUAUAUUUAUCUAUAGGCUUGC